ensembl:lncRNA
AAAUUUGUGGGGGGGGGGGACAUCUGAAAGUUGUCCCCCUAAAACCAUGCUGUGUAUUGUAAAAAACAAUGUUUUAUACUUUAAAUAAUUGUGCAAGUAGUAAAACAUCACAAACGCAGACGGGGAAAAAUGCAUUUUAAGUUUAAAAUCAUUUUGAGUCUCCCCUUCUUCUCUUAAUAGCCCUACUGUUAUUUCUUAUUUGUGCCAUCAUUGGUUAUUUCUUUAUUUGUUCUUAUUACUGACUGCUUACUUGUCAUUUUUUUAUUCAAUCAAAGUUUGAAAUCAAUCUAUCUCGUGCUACUGCAAUAAAAUCACCCCACUGUAAAAUCAAAAAUACACUUCGUGAGCAAAACUUUGUGAGAUAUAAUGGUAAUUAAACAAUGUUUACAUCUGAAUAAAAGCCUACAUUAAAAUCUGUCAUACAAAUUGGUCUCUUCAUUAGAAAUGAGCGUACUGAUUGCCACCAUUGAUGAACAAAAAUGUAAUAAUAUUAAAAAUCUGUAUGACAGUGUAUUCUGCAGUUCUUCCCUGCUGUGCCAAAUAUCUAUACUUCUGAAAGUAUCAUAUCGAAGUUAGAAAUUCAAGUAUUGCGACAAAAUUAAUUUAUUAAAAAGGUUGGGAAACACUGUAUUAGACUAUAAUGUUACAGUCACAGUCAGAGCUAAAGGAAAUGAAAACAUUAUGUGUUAAAGGAGAUAUCUGCUAAAGGUUGUAUAUACAUCAGUGAAUCAUAAACAUGUCAGAAAUCACAGCUGAAACCUUGUUGAGGCUAUUCUCCGAGAAUAAUCUUGAGGCAGUUCUUGAGAAGAAUUCAUUUUCUAGCCCAACUACAUUCCAGGCUUCUGAUCCGAUGGAAGGGAAACAACUAAAUCCUUCAGAAGAUUUUUAUGCUGGAUGCGGUUUCCAUCUGUUUGGACCUGCUGAAAAAUGUGACAAAGCCAAGAGAACUAAUGCUCAGAAUUUAUGCUCUGCAGAACCCAUUCAGGUGCGCGCACACACACACACAACCACACACACACACACACACACACACACACACACACACACACACACACACACACACACACAC